GAAACCAACAAGUCGUAGGGUUUUUUGCUCGACCUAACUUCUCAUUUUCAUAUUUUGUCUCCCAGCUUCGACAUUUCAGCGCCUCCCUCCCCAAAAUCAUAGAUUCCCAGAUUCCGGCCCCAAAAAUGAUCAAAUCCAUAGAUAAUUGACUUGCAGAAGCUUAUAGCCGAAUUCCCUAGCCUUAUUUCUCCUAAAUUUCAACAGAUUCACCCAAAAAUCUAAAAACCCCCAAACCAUCGAAACCCUAAUUCUGGAAAAUUGUUGUUUCCUUCACCGAAUGCAAGGUUUUGUCCUGUAUAGUUCAUGGUAGAGGGAUAAAGGCUUAUGAAGUAAAUUCAAAUCAAAGGAGUCCCAGUGUGAUCAGUUGGAGCCUUGGAGCAUACGUUUAAGAGCAUACCUUUAAAAGUCAUUGAGGUUGGAGCAGCAGUAAUGA